CUGCCCGCGUGGCGUUGACGUGGCGCUGGCGUGGCAGGGGCAGGACCAUUUUUGCAAAUAAUUUUUGGACGGGGCUAUUUUUGUAAAUAAAAUUUAUCAGGGAGCUAUUUGCAAAAAAAACCCUUUUAAGUCGGAAUCCAGACUAUAAAAUUCGAAAUUCGAAUCUGAAUCGAAUUCGAUAGAUUUUAAAAAUUUAUAUCCAAAAUCGAAUCUCUUUAAAAUCUGAAAUUCGAAUUCGAAAAUCGUAAUCCCAAAUAAUUAUUUCUUCUUAUCAUAUUUCAAAAUAUAUUAUAUUAAAUCUAAAAUUUUAAAAUAUAAAUUCAAAUAUAACAUGGAACAAUAUAUUAUAUAAUGUACAAUCAAAUCGGAUUCGAGUCGGGUUUGGUUUCGAAUCAAAUACAAAUAAAAUCCAUAUCUGAGACCAAAUUCGUCAAAUUUUUAUUUUUUAUAUUCUUAUCCGAAAUUAUAUCAAUUUAGUAUCAGAUAAAUCCGUCCUUUUUGAGUUCAGAUUUGAAUAAAAUUUGGUAUCAAUCUAAAGAGGUUGAAGCGUGGGGAUUAUAAUCUUCUGGAAGAUACUCUGUAGUCUUUACCACGUCCUCCCGCCCCGGACCUAUAAAUCACGGCCCAUGAUGGCCGAAUACAGUGAUUACGACCCAUGAUGGCCCACUGAGACGUUCACUCCAAAAAUUUUAACAUAUAGCAGCAUUAUUUAUAGUAAUAUUUUUGUAAAUAUUAAUAAAUAUAAAAUUUAUUGGAUAUGAAAGAUUGUUAUGGUAUUUAUUGGUAUUUAUAAAUUGCUAUUAGUAAAUAAGUGUAUUUAAUAAUAUUUAUUUUUAAAUGUCGGUAAAAAAUAAUUAAAUUAUAGGAAGUUAUAUUUAAUAAUGCCUCUAAGAGGAUUUGAUUACCAAUAUUUAAAAUUAAAUAUUGAUGAAAGGUGUUAUGUCCAAUGUCCUACUAUUUAUUUCCUUCCGCCUCAAACUUCCUCCUUAUCAGGAAUAAGCUAUUUUAGGCUACUCCUGAGAUAGGUACAACUCUUGGGGUAAGAAGGAAUAAAAUUAAUUUUGCGUUUGAAUGAGAACUGGAUUUUUCUUCGGAAUAAGAAAAAUAGCGUUUGGAUAUAGUUAGAUUGGAAUAGUAAGGAUAAGAAUAAUUAUAGUUUUAACAUAAUAAUAUUUUAUCUAAUUAAUUAAUACAAAAUAUUAAUUAAAUAAUAAUUCAACUUAUUUAAUUGACUAAUUAAUCAUGAAUAUGGCUAAAUAACCCAAAUGUUAAUUAAUAAAUUAAUUAGUAAUUAAUAAUUUAAUUAAUCACAAGUAAUUUAAUAAAUUAAUAAAUAAAUUAGUUAAUAACAAUAAGAUAAUUAAAUUAGUCAAAAUAUUAAUUAAUUAAUCAAUAUAAAUAUUGAUUAUUGAAUAAGUACACUAAAUAAUUAAUUAUUUAAUUAGCAAAUUAAUUAAAAUAAUUAUUAGAGUAAAUUUAUCUAGUCAAUUAGCAAAUAAAUUAAUAUAUAAUACAUUAAUUAAUUAAUAUUUUAUUAUUAAUUUGGUAGAAGUAUAAGGAGAGGAAUUAUUGUUCCACCAUUUUGGUGGAACAACAAUUCCACCCUCUUAAUUGAUUAUCCUAUAGGGCAUGUUUGGUUCGCACUAUGAAAGAUUACUAGGAGUAAAAAGAUAUUCGAGAAUCUUAUUCCUAUUCAUCCUAUUACUAAGAAUGUGGCAUUCAUGUGUUUGGUUCGCACGGUUAUAUUAUUUAGUUAUGUUAUUUACAUUUACAAAAAAUAUACAAUUAAUUUAUUUAUUUCUUUAAUUAAUUUUAGAUAAUGCUAUAAAAAAUUACAACAUCUUUUUAGAAAAAAUGGAGAGAAAAUAUAGGUUAGAGAGAGAGAGCAUAAUUAAAUAAUAGGAAGAAAAAUGGAGUCAAGAUUAGAGGGAGUGAGGGAGUUGAAAUUUUAGAAAAAGAGGAGGAGGGAGAGCUUAGUUUAGAGAGAGAAAAAUAGUUGAAGUUUAGAGAGAAAAAGAUAAGUUUAGAGAGAAAUAUGAGGUUAGAGUGUAAAGGAUAAUAAUACUAACUAGCCGGCGGGUAGGGAGAAAGAAAGAGAUUAGACAUAUUAUGAUUACCUAAUUCAUUAAUAUGAGGAUACCCACUCUCCCGCAAGGGAAUGAGAUUAGUACUUUGGGAUGAAUCUUAUUCCCAAGUGAAUCUAAUAUUACGAACUAGAUUACUUAGUGCCUUUAGCCAAACACCGUCAUAUUUUUUUAUUCUCAUUGCAUUACUAGGAAUCUUAAAAAGAUAGCGCGAACCAAACGCACCCAUAAGGUUAUCCUAGGAUAACGUGUUAAGAGGGGAAUUCAUAAUUUUUUUUUAGAGAUAAAGAGAGGAAUAAGGUCCUUAUUACGCUUAUUCUCCUCUCCUGUUUAUUCUUGAACCAAACAACGUCUAAAUAGUGUU
rnacentral:lncRNA from 1 species